AUGGCUUUGCAGCGGCGGUGCUGCCUACCGUGGCCGGUCGCCAUGGAUGAGGAGCGAGCAUCGACCAUGAUUACCGAAAAUAGCUUGUCGCUCCUUGCAUUAAUUCUUUCUUACAUGUAUUUACUGUCUUGUAGGCUCCGCUGGGAUGCAUUUGCCGAAGGUACUCCGCUAUGGGAUGCUGAUCUGGUCGCUGGUGAACUGGCUUUUGGUUUAAAUGGAGACAUGUACUACAUACCACCCGGCGAUGCUCUUGUCUCCGCUUCAGGCAUCAUGGCAGAUCAGGUGCCAAAGACGCUGGGUUACAUCUUGGGGGAGGAAAUCUGGAGUUUUCUCAUGGGGUGGGAUGAACAAGAUCCAGUUGCCGAUACUCUCUCGAGCCCGCCGUCACGAUCGCUGGAUCUCCGGUGA
rnacentral:rRNA from 1 species